UUUGUUGAAAUGUAGUUUUUGGUUGUUUCUUCACAACAAAUUAUUCAAUUGAAAUGAUUAUUUUAAUGACAGGUUCAGACCAAUCUAAUCCAAUUAGUUGGGUUUUAUAUGAAGACUUCUUGGGCUAAGGAAAGAAAGAUGUAUAGAAGUGCAGCCUUGUUGCAGACCUUUUGGAUUAGCUUAGCCUGAUUGGUAAUGAAGUUAUCUCUGCUGGACCUCACCCACUUUGUCUUUUGAAACUCCUGCUUUGUGAAGAGUAGAGACAUGAAAUGUAAGAUGUUGGCUGAAGUGAUGAUUCUUCUGAGCCAAAUUAUCAGUCCAGGAAGUUCCUGAAUCCUAGAAUAAGGUUAACACUUCAGACCUGUUGCUAAGGAAGAAUCUGGAAUGUUCACCUCCAAAUGGCUACUUUUAUUGUGACAGCCUCAAGCCUGCUCCUUGCCCUUUUAAAAUGGAAAGAACAAAGCAUUUAAAUCUUUUAAAGAAUUCAGAGACUUUUGAGAUCCCAGAGUGUUAACUUUGUAAUAUGAUGGCAGGAGACCUUCCGAUGGGGAGCCCCCAUGUGGGUGAAGACUCACUUGCCUGCCUUACUCUCUAAGUUUGUACCAGAAAGAAGAGAGGGGCCCCCGUCUUAGGGAGAAAGUAAGGGAUCUCAAAUUUGAGCUGAUGAAUCUGGCUGUGUAGACAUGGUCCCAAUGCCAGCCUCCAGGGGUUUGACAUGAGCACCAAGUAAACCUCCGAGGAAGAUCUGCACUGGACAAGAAAAAUGAUAAUGGUUGUCAGUCUGUCCUGGCCUCCCCAACCCUUCUGGCUGUGCAGCAGGAGUGGAACAACCCACCCGACCCUUGUUCUGGCUCACGGAGAUCCUCCCCAAUCUCUUCAAGAG
rnacentral:lncRNA from 12 species